AGAGUUUGAUCCUGGCUCAGAAUGAACGCUAUCUAUUUGCUUAACACAUGCUAGUUGAACGCGUCUAACGACGAGUGGCGAACGGGUGAGUAAUACAAAGGAAUUUACCCCAUAGCUUGGUUAAAUACCUUAUAUAGAAAGAUUUUUUGCUAUGGGAUGAGCCUUUGUAGGAUUAGGUAGUUGGUAAGAUAAUAGCUUACCAAGCCGAUGAUCCUUAAUUGGUCUGAGAGGACGUACAAUCACACUAGAACUGAGACAAGGUCUAGACAUCUAAGGAUGGCAGCAGUGGGGAAUCUUGAACAAUGAGCGAAAGCUUGAUUCAGCGAUAUAGAGUGAAUGAUGAAAGCCAUUAGGUUGUAAAGUUCUUUUACCAAGAAAGAUUCUGACUUUACUUGGAGAAAAAGCCCUGGCAAAUUUCGUGCCAGCAGCCGCGGUGAUACGAAAAGGGCUAGUGUUAUUCGGAAUAAUUGGGUGUAAAGGGUGAGUAGGCUGUAAUCAUAGUUAAUUCUUAAAUCUUAGUAGUAAUUACUAAAUCAAUUAUUAAAAACAAAUUACUAGAGUAAAAGAGAGGAUUGUAGAAUUUCAAGUGGAGAAAUAAAAUUCGUAGAUUUUUGAAGGAAUAUCGAAAGCGAAGGCAACAAUCUGGCUUUAUACUGACGCUGAUUCACGAAAGCUUAGGUAGCAACCAGGAUUAGAGACCCUGUUAGUCUAAGCUGUAAACUAUGGAUACUCAUUUUUGGACAAUAAAUGUUCGGAAGUUUAGCUAACGCGUUAAGUAUCCCACCUGAGAAGUACAGUGGCAACGCUGAAACUCAAAGGAAUUGACGGGGAUUUAUACAAUUCGUGGAACAUGUAGUUUAAUUCGUAAAUACACGCAAAACCUUACCAACCUUUGUAUAAUUUUAUGUUCUAAUGAAGAAAUUUGUUAUGUUAAAAAUUACAGGUGCUGCAUGGCUGUCGUCAGCUCGUGUCUUGAGAUGUUAGGUUAAGUCCAGUAACGAGCGAAACCCUUUUUCUUUGUUGCAAAAGAUUUUUUAUUCAGUUACAUUAAUUGAGUUAUAUUCAUGCACUCAAAGAGUAUUGCCUACGAUAUGUAGGAUGAAAGAAAGGAUGACGUCAAGUCUUCAUGGCCCUUAUAGGUUGGGCUACAUAUGUGUUACAACGAUAACAACAAUAAGUUGCAAUAAUGAAAAUUGAAGCAAAUCUAGAAAAGUUAUCUUAGUUCAGAUUGUUUUCUGUAACUCGAAAACAUGAAGUUGGAAUGAAUAGUAAUCGUUUAUCAGCAAGGAACGGUGAAUUUUGUACCUAAAUCUUGUACAUACCGCCCGUCACAUCGAGAGAGUUUAUCUAAUUUAAAGGUAAUCUUUUUUUUAUAUAUUAUUAAUUUUUUAAAUAAGUUAUAAAUAUUUAUUGUUUAAAAAUCU
rnacentral:rRNA from 1 species